AGUGAACGCUGGCGGUAGGCCUAACACAUGCAAGUCGAACGGCAGCACAGUAAGAGCUUGCUCUUACGGGUGGCGAGUGGCGGACGGGUGAGGAAUACAUCGGAAUCUACUUUUUCGUGGGGGAUAACGUAGGGAAACUUACGCUAAUACCGCAUACGACCUACGGGUGAAAGCAGGGGAUCUUCGGACCUUGCGCGAUUGAAUGAGCCGAUGCCGGAUUAGCUAGUUGGCGGGGUAAAGGCCCACCAAGGCGACGAUCCGUAGCUGGUCUGAGAGGAUGAUCAGCCACACUGGAACUGAGACACGGUCCAGACUCCUACGGGAGGCAGCAGUGGGGAAUAUUGGACAAUGGGCGCAAGCCUGACCCAGCCAUACCGCGUGGGUGAAGAAGGCCUUCGGGUUGUAAAGCCCUUUUGUUGGGAAAGAAAAGCAGCAUGUGAAUACCCCGCUGUUCUGACGGUACCCAAUGAAUAAGCACCGGCUAACUUCGUG
rnacentral:rRNA from 1 species